ACCGGUAUUUGAAAGAAUCACACCACGAGGCAGUGCAUUUAAAAUGGUUAAACACCUGAAUUUAUUAUAAUUAUAAAUGGGUUUUUUUUCACUUGUGGGUUUUCUUUCAGGUGCAUUCUGUAUUUUGGUUGCAUUUGGAGCGGUUGCGGGUUUUGAUCAGUUUUGAUGCGAAUUUACGACAAUCGGCGUUAAGGGGUUAACAGCGUGCAACAGCUUGUGAAAUAGACGAUCUAUACAUCUAGCGGAAAUCCUAUUGGUGUCCUAGCAACCGCGAACGUUUGUACUCAUGGGUCAGCGUAAAAAAAAAAAAAGGUCACAGCUAAUGCUACCGUUCGUUUCAAACGUAUUUUCCUUGACUUUCUAUUGAACCAAGCUUACUAUUUACCAGAGAUGAUCUCCGAAAAGCUCUCUUUGACCUGUGAUAGACUUCUGUCUCACCAGCAGCUCGCCUGUUCUCGUUCUUUUUGCGCUGCGCCUUUAAGAAGCAAGGAAGUGCUUGUUUACAAUAAUACGGACUUGCAGCAAAAGCCACUGCUGUUAACAGGUCACCAUGGCGACAUAAAUGCCAUGACCUUUGGUAAAAGAAACAUACCUGUGCUUCUUUGCUCCGCCUCUGCGGAUUACGUCAUUGUUUGGGAUGUGGAAAAUUGUCAGAGGAAAAUACAAGAGGGUGAAAUCGCAACAGGACUGGUUAUUGGGACUUUGCUGGGUGAAGUUAUCCAUCUCUCAUUCUGUUUCUCUGAUGAAAGAGUGGCUGCAUGCUCAGGUGCAGUCAUAUAUGUUCUCAACUCAAAGAAGCAGAAAGUCAUUUGCACAUUGACCGGCCACCUGGGACCUUUAACAUCGGCAGAGUUCUGUCCCUGGGACAGAAAUAUUCUUGUCAGCACAUCAGAGGAUCGCACCUUUAAGGUUUGGGAUUUAAAAACUGAAGCGGUUCUCUACCAGUCAUUUGUGCUUUCAGCAUCGCCUCUGCUUAGUGCGCUGUUUCUAGAAAAGAACAGGCAUCUUAUCACCGGCUCAGCUGAUGGACAGGUGUGGUGCUUCUCUUUUGACAAUGACCACAAGUGCCGCUUGGUGACAAAAAUGGACCUUCUGAAAAUGGAAAGAAAACAUCAAGAAUGCCAGAAGACUUUGAGCCAUCACAAAGGGGUUUGUGAACAGUUGGUGGCUGAUAAAGUGGAGCUCUCAAAACCUGUUGUCCAAAUGUCUUCAUGCAGCUCAUUUAUAGACCUCGAUUCUCAGAAAAACACAGACAACAGCUGGUUUUGUGUAGGGAGCACUGACGGUCUGUACGUGGUGGACCCGGAUACCUCCCAACUCCUAACAGUGCUGCAUUUCAAAGAUAACUCUGAUCUGAGCAUCGCCACAGCUGGGUCAUGGUCCUUCUCUCUAGGGUGUGAUAAGUCUAUGGUGGCUUUAGUCAGCUCUUUGUUUACUCCAUGUGUGGUUUUACUGGAGAUGUUUCUGGCGCACCUGCAGAGGUCUGAGGAAAACGAUGAAGGCUUCUCUGUGUUUCCAAGUUCUUCUCCUCUGCCUGAAUCCCCCUUGAAUGCUGUUCUCAAGAAUAAGGAACCCAAUCAUCCCCAAAAGAAAGGAAUAAAAGAAACGCCACUGGUUUUUCACUCAAAGGUGAAGUCAUCUGGAUAUACUAGCGCUCCAAGGAGAUUUAUGUUUGCUCCCAAAAUAAAUGUUAAGAAAACAUCUCCCGCUAAAAAGACAACAGGAAAUGGGGGUUUCCUCCACAGCAGUUACCCAGCAGGCAGUGUAGCCCCAACUGUGCCGAGUAUUGAUCUCAGCGUUGUCAACAAACAAGUCUCGUGCCUUCAGUACUCAGGUGAUGGAAAACAAAUCCUGUGUGGUCUUGGCGACUGCUCACUGUUUUUGUACAAGUCAUCUCUUGCUGGAUGUCCGACUGUCUAUAGAGGUCACGACAAGCCAGUGAGCAGUGUGAGCUGGAGCCUCAGCAGACAGUGGUUGCUGAGUGCAUCAGAUGAUCGGUCGGUUCGAAUCUGGACCAAUGGCAGCUCCGUGCCAGCUAUUACCAUGGGUGACAACAUGUUCUCCAAACCUGUUAGAGGAGCUCAGUUUUAUUAUCUUGACAAAUUUCUUCUCUUGGCAUCUGGACCCGCUCUGUACCUGUACCUGUAUGAUGUGGACACAACUCGUGAUGACAUCAAAACAUACAAGCAGCGGAGUGUCUUCAAACUGGCAAGUUGCAUAACCACAUCAACAGGCAUCACUGCACUAUCUGCCAUCAAUGGUUUCCUGUCAUAUAUUGUUCUGGUGUCUGGUUCUGAUCGCUCCAUUCAAGUUCUGGACAUGAACAAAGGCUCAGUUGCCUCUGUUUUGCCUGAUGCCCACAGCAGAGCCACCCACUGUAUAACGCAGAACAAGGGAUCUGCGUUCACUGGACAGACCCCAGAGUCCUACAACCUUUUCCUCUCCAGUGCAAUCACAGAUGGUGUAAAGCUUUGGGACCUUCGCACACUGAGGAAACCAAGCUGGAGCUGGCCACGCCCAUCCCUUCUAUGCUCUGGUUGCUAUUGGCUGAGAAGCUCUGAUAUCCAGGAGGGGCUUGUAGUAGAUCCACUGCUCCUCCAGCAAAAGCUCUCUUGUGUGUACGUCGCUAUGAGAACCACGUAAAUCGCUGCCACCCAUGCUCCUCAGCCUUCUCACCUUGUGGACGCUUCAUUGUUUGUGGUUCUGAGGAUAAAUGUCUGUUAACUGGAACCCUGGAUGGGAAACUGAGACUGUUUCAGUGCAGCACCGGGUCCCGUUUGUCUUGUGACACCAGUGCUGCUGUGGACCACAUCCCCAACGUGACUGCGUGAUUACAGCAGACCCACUGCAAAGACCAUGCAGCUUUCAUUAAGGCAGCGAAAACCCACAGGCAGGGAUUUCCAUAGGAACAAAGACUUUAAGAAUUUGGUUAUGCUGUUGUUGGUUUAACAGAAUUAAAACCAGGUACAAGUUAUUCAUCUUCUACAUUCAAAUGCGUCAGACUUUCAAAUAAAGCAACGCGUCAUCGCUCGGUC